UAAUGGCUAUAAUUGUUGUCCUAACCAUUAGGACACUAAUUAGCUGCCCUAAUAAUAUUAGAACCGAACACCUAGCAUAACAACGGAGGUAGAGGGAGGCAGCAAGACUCUUACAGAAAAAAGAAAGAAAAAAAUGAAGUUAACGUAACCGUAGAUUCAACGCCUACCAGUACGUAGCAUUAAUUGUCAUUUUAUUCUCGUCAUGACUCACCAAUAGUUAACAAUCUACUUUGCUUAACUGCCUCCGCUUUCCAACAGUUCAAGUAGCCAUCUAGCUAGAUAACCCUUAAAUCUUGGAUCGAUCAUGUUCGGCACAGGCGGGCAUUGUCGUACACUUAGAGGCUUGGCUGGUUGGCACCUGGCCAUGGCGCUCCUGCCAUUACUGCUUCAAUAUCCGAAACCUCCCUUGGACAAUUAGUCAUGUUCUUGCACCCAUCGGCCGUAACAUG
rnacentral:lncRNA from 1 species